GGCCGGUUAGCUCAGUGGUUUGAGCGUGGUGCUGACAACAAUGACAACACUGAGGUCGCAGGUUCGAUUCCUACUCAGUCCC
rnacentral:tRNA from 1 species